ACGGGAGGCAGCAGUGGGGAAUAUUGCACAAUGGGCGAAAGCCUGACCCAGCAACGCCGCGUGAAGGAAGAAGGUCUUCGGAUUGUAAACUUCUUUUAUCAGGGACGAAGAAAGUGACGGUACCUGAUGAAUAAGCCACGGCUAACUACGUGCCAGCAGCCGCGGUAAUACGUAGGUGGCGAGCGUUAUCCGGAUUUACUGGGUGUAAAGGGCGCGUAGGCGGGGAUGCAAGUCAGAUGUGAAAUCUAUGGGCUUAACCCAUAAACUGCAUUUGAAACUGUAUCUCUUGAGUGUCGGAGAGGUAGAUGGAAUUCCUAGUGUAGCGGUGAAAUGCGUAGAUAUUAGGAGGAACACCAGUGGCGAAGGCGGCUUUCUGGACUGUAACUGACACUGAGGCUCGAAAGCGUGGGGAGCGAACAGGAUUAGAUACCCUGGUA
rnacentral:rRNA from 1 species